rnacentral:rRNA from 1 species
AGUGAACGCUGGCGGUAGGCCUAACACAUGCAAGUCGAACGGCAGCACAGGAGAGCUUGCUCUCUGGGUGGCGAGUGGCGGACGGGUGAGGAAUACAUCGGAAUCUACUUUGUCGUGGGGGAUAACGCAGGGAAACUUGCGCUAAUACCGCAUACGACCUACGGGUGAAAGCAGGGGAUCUUCGGACCUUGUGCGAUUGAAUGAGCCGAUGUCGGAUUAGCUAGUUGGCGGGGUAAAGGCCCACCAAGGCGACGAUCCGUAGCUGGUCUGAGAGGAUGAUCAGCCACACUGGAACUGGGACACGGUCCAGACUCCUACGGGAGGCAGCAGUGGGGAAUAUUGGACAAUGGGCGCAAGCCUGAUCCAGCCAUACCGCGUGGGUGAAGAAGGCCUUCGGGUUGUAAAGCCCUUUUGUUGGGAAAGAAAAGCAGCCGGUUAAUACCCGGUUGUUCUGACGGUACCCAAAGAAUAAGCACCGGCUAACUUCGAGCCAGCAGCCGCCGUAAAAC